rnacentral:rRNA from 1 species
ACGACUCUCGGCAAUGGAUAUCUCGGCUCUCGCAUCGAUGAAGAACGUAGCGAAAUGCGAUACUUGGUGUGAAUUGCAGAAUCCCGUGAACCAUCGAGUUUUUGAACGCAAGUUGCGCCCAAAGCCAAUAGGCUGAGGGCACGUCUGCCUGGGCGUCAC